rnacentral:snRNA from 1 species
GUCCCUUCGGGACAUCUGAAAAAAUUGAAAAGAUACAGAGAAGUCAGAAGAUUAGCUUUGUUUCUGUGCAAGAAUAACACGUACAAAUUGAGAAAUAAUCCAAUUUUAA